UUAAGUUAUUAAGGGCGCACGGUGGAUGCCUUGGCACUAGAAGCCGAUGAAGGACGUUACUAACGACGAUAUGCUUUGGGGAGCUGUAAGUAAGCUUUGAUCCAGAGAUUUCCGAAUGGGGAAACCCAGCAUGAGUUAUGUCAUGUUAUCGAUAUGUGAAUACAUAGCAUAUCAGAAGGCACACCCGGAGAACUGAAACAUCUUAGUACCCGGAGGAAGAGAAAGAAAAUUCGAUUCCCUUAGUAGCGGCGAGCGAAACGGGAAGAGCCCAAACCAACAAGCUUGCUUGUUGGGGUUGUAGGACACUCUAUACGGAGUUACAAAGGACGACAUUAGACGAAUCAUCUGGAAAGAUGAAUCAAAGAAGGUAAUAAUCCUGUAGUCGAAAAUGUUGUCUCUCUUGAGUGGAUCCUGAGUACGACGGAGCACGUGAAAUUCCGUCGGAAUCUGGGAGGACCAUCUCCUAAGGCUAAAUACUCUCUAGUGACCGAUAGUGAACCAGUACCGUGAGGGAAAGGUGAAAAGCACCCCGGAAGGGGAGUGAAAUAGAACCUGAAACCGUGUGCUUACAAGUAGUCAGAGCCCGUUAAUGGGUGAUGGCGUGCCUUUUGUAGAAUGAACCGGCGAGUUACGAUUUGAUGCAAGGUUAAGCAGUAAAUGUGGAGCCGUAGCGAAAGCGAGUCUGAAUAGGGCGUUUAGUAUUUGGUCGUAGACCCGAAACCAGGUGAUCUACCCUUGGUCAGGUUGAAGUUCAGGUAACACUGAAUGGAGGACCGAACCGACUUACGUUGAAAAGUGAGCGGAUGAACUGAGGGUAGCGGAGAAAUUCCAAUCGAACUUGGAGAUAGCUGGUUCUCUCCGAAAUAGCUUUAGGGCUAGCCUCAAGUGAUGAUUAUUGGAGGUAGAGCACUGUUUGGACGAGGGGCCCCUCUCGGGUUACCGAAUUCAGACAAACUCCGAAUGCCAAUUAAUUUAACUUGGGAGUCAGAACAUGGGUGAUAAGGUCCGUGUUCGAAAGGGAAACAGCCCAGACCACCAGCUAAGGUCCCAAAAUAUAUGUUAAGUGGAAAAGGAUGUGGCGUUGCCCAGACAACUAGGAUGUUGGCUUAGAAGCAGCCAUCAUUUAAAGAGUGCGUAAUAGCUCACUAGUCGAGUGACACUGCGCCGAAAAUGUACCGGGGCUAAACAUAUUACCGAAGCUGUGGAUUGUCCUUUGGACAAUGGUAGGAGAGCGUUCUAAGGGCGUUGAAGCAUGAUCGUAAGGACAUGUGGAGCGCUUAGAAGUGAGAAUGCCGGUGUGAGUAGCGAAAGACGGGUGAGAAUCCCGUCCACCGAUUGACUAAGGUUUCCAGAGGAAGGCUCGUCCGCUCUGGGUUAGUCGGGUCCUAAGCUGAGGCCGACAGGCGUAGGCGAUGGAUAACAGGUUGAUAUUCCUGUACCACCUAUAAUCGUUUUAAUCGAUGGGGGGACGCAGUAGGAUAGGCGAAGCGUGCGAUUGGAUUGCACGUCUAAGCAGUAAGGCUGAGUAUUAGGCAAAUCCGGUACUCGUUAAGGCUGAGCUGUGAUGGGGAGAAGACAUUGUGUCUUCGAGUCGUUGAUUUCACACUGCCGAGAAAAGCCUCUAGAUAGAAAAUAGGUGCCCGUACCGCAAACCGACACAGGUAGUCAAGAUGAGAAUUCUAAGGUGAGCGAGCGAACUCUCGUUAAGGAACUCGGCAAAAUGACCCCGUAACUUCGGGAGAAGGGGUGCUCUUUAGGGUUAACGCCCAGAAGAGCCGCAGUGAAUAGGCCCAAGCGACUGUUUAUCAAAAACACAGGUCUCUGCUAAACCGUAAGGUGAUGUAUAGGGGCUGACGCCUGCCCGGUGCUGGAAGGUUAAGAGGAGUGGUUAGCUUCUGCGAAGCUACGAAUCGAAGCCCCAGUAAACGGCGGCCGUAACUAUAACGGUCCUAAGGUAGCGAAAUUCCUUGUCGGGUAAGUUCCGACCCGCACGAAAGGCGUAACGAUUUGGGCACUGUCUCAACGAGAGACUCGGUGAAAUCAUAGUACCUGUGAAGAUGCAGGUUACCCGCGACAGGACGGAAAGACCCCGUGGAGCUUUACUGUAGCCUGAUAUUGAAAUUCGGCACAGCUUGUACAGGAUAGGUAGGAGCCUUUGAAACGUGAGCGCUAGCUUACGUGGAGGCGCUGGUGGGAUACUACCCUAGCUGUGUUGGCUUUCUAACCCGCACCACUUAUCGUGGUGGGAGACAGUGUCAGGCGGGCAGUUUGACUGGGGCGGUCGCCUCCUAAAAGGUAACGGAGGCGCUCAAAGGUUCCCUCAGAAUGGUUGGAAAUCAUUCAUAGAGUGUAAAGGCAUAAGGGAGCUUGACUGCGAGACCUACAAGUCGAGCAGGGUCGAAAGACGGACUUAGUGAUCCGGUGGUUCCGCAUGGAAGGGCCAUCGCUCAACGGAUAAAAGCUACCCCGGGGAUAACAGGCUUAUCUCCCCCAAGAGUUCACAUCGACGGGGAGGUUUGGCACCUCGAUGUCGGCUCAUCGCAUCCUGGGGCUGUAGUCGGUCCCAAGGGUUGGGCUGUUCGCCCAUUAAAGCGGUACGCGAGCUGGGUUCAGAACGUCGUGAGACAGUUCGGUCCCUAUCCGUCGUGGGCGUAGGAAAUUUGAGAGGAGCUGUCCUUAGUACGAGAGGACCGGGAUGGACAUACCUCUGGUGUACCAGUUGUCGUGCCAACGGCAUAGCUGGGUAGCUAUGUGUGGACGGGAUAAGUGCUGAAAGCAUCUAAGCAUGAAGCCCCCCUCAAGAUGAGAUUUCCCAACUUCGGUUAUAAGAUCCCUCAAAGAUGAUGAGGUUAAUAGGUUCGAGGUGGAAGCAUGGUGACAUGUGGAGCUGACGAAUACUAAUCGAUCGAAGACUUAAUCAA
rnacentral:rRNA from 1 species